UUCUGACAUGAAUCGAUCGAGUAGAAAAAAAUACACAGUACAGAAAAGCACGAAAUGGAGCUCAGAAGCUGCCUAAUAUCCAACCAGAAGCUUAUCAGAUCAUCAAAAGAAAUUUUUAACUUUGCCGAGAAAAUUGCCUCAGAAUGCAGCUUGUUGACUAGCGAUUUGAUACUAGCUGCAGUCUGGCAUUGUCUGAAUCAAACUCAACCAACAGAAUCAAGUACUCUGAGCAAUAUAGCUGUUGAAUCUAGUAGUGAAGAACACAGAAUACAGAAGCAAGACAAAGAUAGAACCAGAAAAAAGCCUGUUAGUGAUUCUGAAGAAAACAGAGCAUGUCAAUCCACUGAAAAUGCUGUCAAUGAAAACAAAUGUGACUUACAUGCAGACAAACCAAAGGAUGAUAGAGAAAUUAAAAAGAAGCAACCAGAGAAAGAAGCAGCUAGAAAUGUUGACGCAGAGAAUGAUGAGAAGAAAGAGGUUUGGAUUGUAGGUGAAUCAGAAAGUAAAACAGAUGACAUUGAUAAACAGCAAAUUAAUCAGUUAAGAAGUCACUCGGAUACAGCAUCAGGUGAUCAGUCACAAACUAUUGUUACAAAUGGGCCAGAUAGCCAGAAUAACACUGAGGUAGACACUAAAGAAAGUAAAGGCGUUUGUGAAAUCACUAAUGUUCAAAAUUACUCCUCUUCAGAACCAAAACUUGACAAGAAUAUUAAAUUGCACAAUAGGACAAAUGUAGCAACUAAAGAAACAAAUGAACAAGUUAAUAUAGAUAAAAAUGUGAAUAAGUUUAAUGUGACUCGUGAUGAAAACAAAACAGAUACACAAGACCUGUCUGUCCAAGAAAAGGUAAAAUCUGUGCCUGCUGCUUCUCUCAAAGACAGUCAGUCUAAGCAAAAUGAAGGGAAAGGUCAAAAUGAAAAGAAAAGUAUAGCAGAUGUUGAAGUUAUAAGCAUUGAUGAUGAGGAUUCAAAUGAUAUUCCUGGUGGACUUGAUAUUGCAAGCAUAACAGAGUUUGCUGUUGUUGCCCGUGAUAAAAAUGAAGAGAUAGCAGAAGAAAAAGAGCCAGAUUACUUUGACAUGGACUGUGAUGAAAUAGAUGAUGAUAAUGAUGGUGAUGAGUAUGAAGAGAUGUUAGAUUUUACUACAGAUGAAACAGAUAAAUCAGAAAAAUAUAAAGAAGAAAGUAAUGUAAAGACUAAUACAAUUCAAAAGGAUGCAGAUGUAACAAUUAUAAGUGACGAUGAAGAUGAUUGUGAAGUGAAGGGCUCGGCUAUUAAUGCUUUAACAAGUCCUAGUAAAUGUGAAAGUCUGAAUGAAACAGGUAACAGAAGUAAUACAGGUAAAAGCCAGCUAAACACCACAAGCAGUAAAAAGCAGGCAGUAAGUGAAGGUACGAGAAGAAAACAGUCCCUUACUAAUGUAAUGGAAGACUUAACUGGUAGUGUUGAAGAGAAAACAAAAGGAAAAGGUUUGAUGGACAGAUCAGGUGAAAAAGUUCAUACUAGAAUAAUAUGUCCAGCUAUGGAACAUUUGGACAGUAUGUCUAUGCCUAAAGAUGAAUCAUCAUCAGAACAUGCAGGGGAUAGAAAUUCUUCAGUUCCGUCGGUGUCAGAUAGUGAUUCUACUUCUACAUCUGCAGUAGCAGUGUUAGGACUAAUGCCUGUUGGUGAUGUACAGAAAUCUGUUGACAGUGCAGCCAGCACUACUGAAGAAUCAUCUUUAUCACAAAUAUUUCCAACUCUUGCUUCUAACCAAUCAAUUUAUGUCUCCUCAAGCAUGGUGCAUGGAUCCAUUCCAUCUUUACCACCAGUCCAAGAUUUACACCAUGUCAGUAACCUACCUGGUAACAGAUUUGCUGAUAUUUAUCAAGGCUCAGAUACAGUAACAUGUCCAAGUCAGGGUUCGUCUGCUACUCCAGGAUCAUUCCAGUUUGAUCAACCAGAUUUGCAGGCUCAGACUUCAUAUUACAGUGAAGAAUAUUCUUCUGUUCGGUCACCAGGUGAUGAAUUUAGCAGCCCGCCUAGGAAAAAACGAUUACUGGAUUAUGAUAAGAAGUGGCAUAUGGAACCAAAGUUUAGUCCAGAACAAGACAAGGAUGAUGCGUUAGUAAAACUGCAGGAGGGAACACUUGUUCGAAUAAAGACUGAACCAGAAGAUUUUGAGCUACAAGUGAAUACACUUAAUGAAAUGCCAGUUGAUAUAGAGAAUAAAGCUGUGUUACAUGUAGGCUCGUGUUCUGAUACAGAAGUGAAUAAACACAGGAGAGAAUUUGUUAAUACAACAAAAGAAGCAUUGCUCAAUACAGAAUGUGUAAUACCAGCAAGAUCUGAAGAUGGAAAACGAGAAAUGCAAGCUUAUGACAUUGUUAUGAAUACCAACAAUGAAAUGUCAGAUGAUAUAUUGUUAAAAGUCGAGGUUCCAGUUAACACUGAUGAUGAAACUUCUGACAGCAUAGAUAAAGAAAUGUCAGGAAACACUGAAACAGGAAGGAAAAGACAGUUUUACAGUCCUUUGAUGAAGCUUCAUUUUAUUGAAAGGUUAAAGAAUGGUGAAAGUCAAACAUCUAUACAUAGAGAUACAGGCAUUCCUGGAUCUACUCUUCGUACAUGGCUGAAAUCUGAACAACAGAUACGUAGACUUCUAAAUUUUAAGUCUAGGGUUAAAGGCAGAAGUAAGUCCAAAAAGAUGGAAACUCGUGUUGAAAAGAAAAGGGAAAACUACACCAUUUAUGAAAAAUUGAAAACUAUUGCUCGUGUACACAGUGGAGAGAGCCGAUCUAAUGUGUGCAGAGACCUUGAUUUAGCGGAAUCCACACUGAGAGGAUGGCUGAAAGAUGAGAGCAGACUUAAAGAAGAAAUCUUCGCAUAUGGUUGUCAUUCACGUCAAAAGAACAAGGGCUCAAAAUGCAAAUUAUUGUCCGGAUCAAAGAGGACAGAUAUUCUGGAUGGAAGCCAAAUGGUCUUCAAAAAUAAAGAAAAGCAUUAAAAAUGUGGAAAAUUCUGGCUUAUACAGAUGUUUCCAGUUCUGGCUGGUGGAGUAGAUGUGAAGAGAUAUGACUUGAAAUUUUUAUUUAGCAUUGCCUGGUGGAGUAGAAGGGAACAUCAUGUUAGCAGACUGGAGACAGCCUGGACAUUACACCAGUGUUAGCCAGUUUCCUCGUGUCCCGAGUAUUGGUAUUGAAAAAGUUGACAGUGAUUACAUGA
rnacentral:misc_RNA from 1 species